GUCUGAAAAUAACUUGUUUCUUUUUCGUUUUGCCCUGAGAAAACAAAUGAAUGCCCUGUUGACAGACUUCUAUAGGGAAGACUUCAUUUCAGAUCAGCAUCUGAAAUGUUUGUAGGUCUGCUAUCAGGCUUGGUGUCCUCCACUGGACUCCUCCUUUGCAAACUAUAUUUCUCUGCUGAAAUUAAGUGACUUUCAGGUAAUGUGCUUCAUUAAAGAAAUACGAAAUCAAGAACUUUAGGGCUGGGACAUCUUUAUAGUUGUGCUGUCUAAGGUGAAACCUUCCUAACUGUAUUUGUUUUCUUCUAGGAUGACAGUGUAGCCUUCUAGAUUUGUACAAAAUCAUGCCCAAAGAACUCAGUCCCUAGAGCCAGAAGUCCUCAGAUACUGAAAAGUUCCUGCAGCUCAGGAUGUAGUGGACAUCAUGGUCCUUUUCCCUUGCUCUCUUUUCUUGAAGAAAGUAGGAGACAGCAGGGAAAACAGAUGAGUCCAUUAGCCACAUCUCAGUGUGUUCCGAUCUUUUUGCCUAGAAGUUGACUUUCCUCUGCUUUGCUCUGGAGGGAUGCUUUGAUGUGCCCUGCCACAUUAUUCUGGUAGAUAUCCUGUGCAUGUCUUGCAACCCACCUGAUGUUAUGAUCACAGUCUAGUUUAACGUUUUGGCUGCUGCUACCAUCCUCCAGCUUCUGAGAUUGUAUCUGCCUGUCAGGAGCAGCAUUCCAGGUGUUAUUUGGCUUCAGAUUUUUGUUACAAGAUUUUUUUUCCUCAUUGUCCUGUUACUAAUUUG
rnacentral:lncRNA from 1 species